rnacentral:lncRNA from 1 species
UCCAGUGUAGCCAGCCUUCUCAAUGGCAUCCAUAAGCAAAACAAGGCCCUCCCUGUUGUCUUGAACGUUAGGAGCAAAACCACCUUCAUCUCCAACAUUGCAUGCAUCUUGACCGUAUUUCGCCUUAAUGAUGCCCUUAAGAACAUGGUAAACUGUAAAGUGGACGAGCGAAGCAGACAACUCCCAGUGAGGAUUAAAGAUGGAACAGGCACACACAAAAAACUGAACAGAAGUCUAGAAGAAACAGCCCCCAAAUAAAUGCUUUGCUGGGUAAUCGUAAUAAUUUACAAGUCACAACCAAGAUGAAAUGCACCAAGAGGUAAAACAGUGUAGGUGAAGAAAAUACAAUAAAUUACCUUCACUGCCCAUACGAAGAGCCUCGGCAAAUGAAGUUGCCCCCACAGGUAAAAGCAUGAAUUCCUGCAUAGCCAGAUUAUUACCAGCAUGGCUACCUCCGUUUAUUACAUUGAAAGCUGGGACAGGCAUGACAAGCUCCUUGGUGCCUGACAGCUCCUGAAUAUGUUUAUAUAGAGGAACUCCUUUUGCAGAAGCG